GCCUUGUGGUUCCUAGAGUCAGCUGUCAGUGCUGAACUGUGGGUUUUUAAAACAGUGAUUUGAUGCAUGGAUUCUGCUCCUCAUGCAGCCUUCCAUAGCCCGGUUGCGGAUACAAUG